GGGCCCGCACAAGCGGUGGAGUAUGUGGUUUAAUUCGAUGCAACGCGAAGAACCUUACCAGGGUUUGACAUCCUGCGAAUCUCUUGGAAACGAGAGAGUGCCUUCGGGAACUCUGAGACAGGUGCUGCAUGGCUGUCGUCAGCUCGUGUUGUGAAAUGUUGGGUUAAGUCCCGCAACGAGCGCAACCCUUAUCCUUGUUUGCCAGCGAGUAAUGUCGGGAACUCCAGGGAGACUGCCGGUGAUAAACCGGAGGAAGGUGGGGACGACGUCAAGUCAUCAUGGCCCUUACGAGUAGGGCUACACACGUGCUACAAUGCUACGGACAAAGGGCAGCAAGUUCGCGAGGACAAGCAAAUCCCAUAAACCGUGGCUCAGUUCAGAUCGUAGGCUGCAACUCGCCUACGUGAAGGCGGAAUCGCUAGUAAUCGCAGGU
rnacentral:rRNA from 1 species